ACUCGCUCGACUUUUUCUUCUCUCUCCCUCUUCUUCCCCCUUCCCCCUUCCUCCUCUCCUCCUUCUUCUUCUUCAUCUCUUCUUUCUUUCUUUCCUCCAAUUUUUCUCUUCGAAUUAGCAAGUCUUUAAUUUUUUGCCUACCAACAAGAAGAGAAAAAUGAAAGAAAUAAGAUGAUGGUUCCUUAAUGGAACAAAUCUUGGGAACAAAGGCUUAAUCUCAGCAGAUCGUAACAACAAGGCUACUCUACUGCUUACAAUACCCCGUUCCACAUUAAAGUCGUAUGCAAUGGAUUCGAUUCCGCACAAGAU
rnacentral:lncRNA from 1 species